UACGUAGGGUGCGAGCGUUAAUCGGAAUUACUGGGCGUAAAGCGUGCGCAGGCGGUUUUGUAAGCCGGAUGUGAAAUCCCCGGGCUUAACCUGGGAACUGCAUCCGAUACUGGAUGGCUUGAAUCCGGGAGAGGGAUGCAGAAUUCCAGGUGUAGCGGUGAAAUGCGUAGAUAUCUGGAGGAAUACCGGUGGCGAAGGCGGCAUCCUGGACCGGCAUUGACGCUGAUGAGCGAAAGCUAGGGGAGCAAACGGG
rnacentral:rRNA from 1 species